rnacentral:rRNA from 1 species
AACGAACACUGGCGGCGUGCCUAACACAUGCAAGUCGCGCGAGAAAAGGGCUUCGGCCCCCAGUACAGCGGCGCACGGGUGCGUAACACGUGGGUAAUCUGCCUUCAGGACUGGGAUAACCUUCCGAAAGGAGGGCUAAUACCAAAUAAGCUCACGGUAUCUUCGGAUCCUGCGGGAAAAGGUGGCCUCUGCAUGCAAGCUAUCACCUGAAGAUGAGCCCGCGGCCCAUCAGCCAGUUGGCGGGGUAAUGGCCCACCAAGGCUACGACGGGGAGCUGGUCUGAGAGGACGAGCAGCCACACGGGAACUGAGACACGGUCCAGACUCCUACGGGAGGCAGCAGUGGGGAAUCUUGCACAAUGGGCGAAAGCCUGAUGCAGCAACGCCGCGUGUGUGAUGAAGGUCUUCGGAUCGUAAAGCACUUUCGGCUGGGAAGAAUCUCCCGGUGGCUAAUAUCCAUCGGGACUGACGGUACCAGCAGAAGAAGCAACGGCUAACUCUGUGCCAGCCGCCGCCGUAAAAC